rnacentral:piRNA from 1 species
UGUAAUGGCGUUUGUGGCUUCCCUCA